GGGUUGACUGCUGAGGAAGGAGGAUGCAUGCUCUGGGCUCCCACCUGGGAAUUGCUGAGGCCCCACGUGGUGGAAGCUGGACAUGCCAAGACCCAGGUGAAUGCCCAAACUCCUGUGGAUGGCCAAGGGGUGACGGAGCUGCUGAGAGCUGGACGGAGCUGCUUAGGGCUGUGGAGAGCUGGCCGAGGAGCCCAAGGACCUCGGAGAUGAUUUCAUGCUGUACAUCAGAAAACAAUCACGAUACUCCUGAGAAUUAACAAGUAAUGGAAGAAGUGAAGCACUGACCAGGACUCAUUUUGAAAACUGGAGAAAAUCACUUGUAUCGAUGACACUUUCCAAGUAUGUAUAUUUUAAAGAAUGGGUUGGUCAGCUGUUAUUGUUUAAAAGAGCAAGCAGUCACUAGCUCUUGGAUUUCUAAGUUGCUUAUCUUGCUGAGAUGAAUAUCCAGGGGAGCCUGUAGCAGCUUAGUCUAUCUACCCUCUGCAGUCACUUUUGAACCUUGAAAUUUGUAUUGGGAAGUGAUGGGGAAGUGAAAUGUACUUUUCUGGGCUGUCAUUCAAUAAAAGAAUAUAGUCCAAUAAUGGAUGAAAUCCAUGCCAGAAAUGAGAUGGAGACACAGUUCUUUGUUUCCUACAGAAAAUGCCCCUCUAUUCAGCCCGUCAGUCUUACAAUUUCUGUUUCUAGUGGUCCAUUUUUCUUUUUACUUUGUCCAAAUUCAAACAUUUCCUUUGUUUUUAGUUUUCAUUUAAAAAGAAAACUGUUUGGGGGGAAAAAGUGUAUUUCUGGAAUGAGACUGUAUAAAAGCAUUAACCUGGGCCCCUCUGAGCAAGGAAAUUGGUUCAGAACUUGAGGGUAAAUUAUAACAGCUUUGCAGAGAAAGGGGACAAUCAAAAGAGCAGAGCAAAUAAUUAAUGUUUUUGGCUGAGUGCGUGAACUGAAAAAUCUGAAAAAACAAAUCAGUUAAGUUCAAACCCAAACUACAUUUUUUUGGUUUUGCUUGAUGAAAUGAAAAAAAAAACACCCUCAAAAAUUAUUUUGGGUCAAACAAAAUAUUUUGUUCACUCCAAAAUAACAUUUUUCAGUUUUGCAUUUUGUUUUAUGUCAUUUUUGGAUGCGUUUCCCCCUUUUGUAAAUAAAAGCUACAUUUCUAAAGAAAUAGUUUCAAAAUGAAAAGUUGACACAUUUAUUUCAAAAUGACAGAAAUGAAACAGUUUGUAUUUUUAAUUUUUUUCUAUUUUGGGGGGUCAAAAUUAUUCACUAAAUUCUCCCAAAUUUGUGAGUAGUUUUGGUGCCCCCAAACAUGCAAUUUUUUGGUGAGUUUACUAUUUGAUGAAAUUUUUUUGCCUAACCCUAGAGACAAUGAAUACAGAUCACUUCAGGUCAGACCAUUUUCUGACUUUCACCAGAGAGAGAAUAAAGCCUAGGUUAUCAAAGUACAAAAGAAUAUAAGGACCCACUGGACACCACAACAAAUGAAAGAUGUUGGAAUGAUGGUGAUGAGAAUGGGCCAAAGUCUGCCCUCAGUUACAAUACCACAUACUUGGGUGAGUGUAAUCUAGGGCUACAGCUACAUGGUGUUGUAACUCAUUAUACAUUAUGGCUUUCUGUCAUCCUUUAGUGGCUAGUCUGUGGGCUUUGGAAUCUGCUACAACCUUUUAGCUAAGAAAUAUGUAUUUUUAAGUCAGAUAGUACAGACUUAUGCUUUUAGAUCCAGGUAUCCUGGAAUUUGAUCCCAAAGACACCAACCCAUCCAGGAACAUCUUGUUAAAAUUGAAAAAAUAUAUUAAUGAAAAUCUGCACUAUAUCUGACUUGUGAUGUGAGGUAGCCAGCUUUGUGAUCCUUUUUGUUUAUCUGCAAACACGGGAUAAAUGGUUUGUGUUUGGGCGAAUGUUCCAUUCAAAUGUUUCUGUUUAAAGAGAUAUCAGCUUUUGUAUAAAUACCUCUAUUCAUACUUGA